rnacentral:rRNA from 1 species
CCCAGACUCCUACGGGAGGCAGCAGUGGGGAAUAUUGCACAAUGGGGGAAACCCUGAUGCAGCGACGCCGCGUGAAGGAAGAAGUAUUUCGGUAUGUAAACUUCUAUCAGCAGGGAAGAAAAUGACGGUACCUGACUAAGAAGCCCCGGCUAACUACGUGCCAGCAGCCGCGGUAAUACGUAGGGGGCAAGCGUUAUCCGGAUUUACUGGGUGUAAAGGGAGCGUAGGCGGUUCAGCAAGUCAGAAGUGAAAGCCCGGGGCUCAACUCCGGGACUGCUCUUGGAACUGCGUGGCUGGAGUGCAGGAGGGGCAGGCGGAAUUCCUGGUGUAGCGGUGAAAUGCGUAGAUAUCAGGAGGAACACCGGUGGCGAAGGCGGCCUGCUGGACUGCAACUGACGUUGAGGCCCGAAAGCGUGGGGAGCAAACAGGAUUAGAUACCCCAGUA